GGGACUAUGACGGAACUGGCAUACGUGCUGUGCUUAGAACGCAGAUUUUAGGAGUUCGACUCUCCUUAGUCCCA
rnacentral:tRNA from 1 species